rnacentral:rRNA from 1 species
AGUGGCGAACGGGUGAGUAUACAUCGGAACGUGUCCUGUAGUGGGGGAUAGCCCGGCGAAAGCCGGAUUAAUACCGCAUACGAUCUACGGAGGAAAGCGGGGGAUCCUUCGGGACCUCGCGCUAUAGGGGCGGCCGAUGGCAGAUUAGCUAGUUGGUGGGGUAAAGGCCCACCAGGGCGACGAUCUGUAGCUGGUCUGAGAGGACGACCAGCCACACUGGGACUGAGACACGGCCCACACUCCUACGGGAGGCAGCAGUGGGGAAUUUUGGACAAUGGGGGAAACCCUGAUCCAGCAGUGCCGCGUGUGUGAAGAAGGCCUUCGGGUUGUAAAGCACUUUUGUCCGGAAAGAAAACUUCUGCCCUAAUACCGCGGGGGGAUGACGGUACCGGAAGAAUAAGCACCGGCUAACUACGUGCCAGCAGCCGCGGUAAUACGUAGGGUGCGAGCGUUAAUCGGAAUUACUGGGCGUAAAGCGUGCGCAGGCGGUUCUUUAAGACAGAUGUGAAAUCCCCGGGCUUAACCUGGGAACUGCAUUUGUGACUGGCGAGCUAGAGUAUGGCAGAGGGGGGUAGAAUUCCACGUGUAGCAGUGAAAUGCGUAGAGAUGUGGAGGAAUACCGAUGGCGAACGCAGCCCCCUGGGCCAAUACUGACGCUCAUGCACGAAAGCGUGGGGAGCACACAAGAUUAGAUACCCUGGUAGUCCA